rnacentral:lncRNA from 1 species
AAAAAAAUGCAGUGCGGAUAUAACUCGAAUAAAAUUCAUAUUUUAAUUUUUUAAAUUUGUUGAAAAAUAUGAUUUAAAAAAUAGAUUCGUUAAUUAUUCGAAUACGCGAUUUAUACGAAUAUUAUACGUUCACCAAUUAACAAUUUAGAAUAAAAAAUUCGGCUAUUAAACUAAGCUUUUCUCUCUAUAUCACUUUAUACUACUAGCAUAUAUAUAGUUGUAAAUUCUUAAAAAUAUAAAAAAAGAGAGCUACAAAAUAAAGUAGAUUUAGUAAUAAAAGCAAUAGCAAAUUUUAUUGGCGUCUCCAUCUUCAUCUUUUUCAUGAUCCACAUAUUUUGGAAGGUCAUGAAAUUUUUCAAUAAUUCGCGAAUAAUUCGGUAAUAAUUCGGUCAUAAUUCGGAAAGAAAUUUUAUCCAAAAAAUUGGUGCGCUUUUGGCCGAAUACUUCGACAUAGGCAAAUUAUUCGCGAAUAAUAAAUCUAACGCAAAAAUUUACGUAUUAUUCCAAUUUUUUGGGAAUAAAUCAUAUACGACUGUUUUAUUCAGAUUUUCAAUAAUUCUCAAAUUAACUAACUAUGAUCCAUACAGUAUAAGUUCAGUAAAUAAAUAAAUAAAUAAUAUUAAAAAAUAAUUUGAACAA